AUCUACAGUCAUACCCCCCUGAACGCUCCUGAUCUUGUCUGAUCUCGGAAGCUAAGCAGGGUUGGGCCUGGUUAGUAUUGGAUGGGAGACCACCUGGGAAUACUGGGUGCUGUAGGCU
ensembl:rRNA LOC120097579 5S ribosomal RNA